rnacentral:rRNA from 1 species
GGAUAUUGGUCAAUGGGGGAAACCCUGAACCAGCAACGCCGCGUGAGGGAAGACGGUUUUCGGAUUGUAAACCUCUGUCCUCUGUGAAGAUAAUGACGGUACCUGAGUAAGAAGCACCGGCUAAAUACGUGCCAGCAGCCGCGGUAAUACGUAUGGUGCAAGCGUUAUCCGGAUUUACUGGGUGUAAAGGGAGCGCAGGCGGCACGGCAAGCCUGAUGUGAAAGCCCGCGGCCCAACCGCGGGACUGCAUUGGGAACUACCGGGCUGGAGUGCCGGAGAGGUAGGCGGAAUUCCUAGUGUAGCGGUGAAAUGCGUAGAUAUUAGGAGGAACACCAGUGGCGAAGGCGGCCUACUGGACGGUGACUGACGCUGAGGCUCGAAAGCGUGGGGAGCAAACAG